UUUGGGAAAUGAUGAAAAAGAUAUCUUCAAUUAAGCAGAAGCUCCAUUGUUGUGCUAUGUUGAAUGAUUUUGCACGUCAGUCUGAUCCCAAA